CCUACGGGAGGCAGCAGUAGGGAAUUUUCGGCAAUGGGGGGAACCCUGACCGAGCAACGCCGCGUGAACGAAGAAGUUAUUCGUAAUGUAAAGUUCUUUUAACAGGGAAGAAAGAGAACUUUGACGGUAGCUGAAGAAUAAGCUCCGGCUAACUACGUGCCAGCAGCCGCGGUAAUACGUAGGGAGCGAGCGGUAUCCGGAAUUAUUGGGCGAAAAGGGUGCGUAGAUGGCAGAGUAAGUCUUUUGUAAAAAUGCUGGGCUCAACCCAGUAGGGCAAAAGAUACUGCAAAGCUAGAGUAUGACAGAGGCAAGUGGAACUACAUGUGUAGCGGUAAAAUGCGUAAAUAUAUGUAAGAACACCAGUGGCGAAGGCGGCUUGCUGGGUCGAUACUGACAUUGAGGCACGAAAGCGUGGGGAGCAAACAGGAUUAGAUACCCGGGUAGUC
rnacentral:rRNA from 1 species